rnacentral:rRNA from 1 species
UACGGAGGAUGCAAGGGGUAGCCGGAGUUAUUGGGCGUAAAGAGUCCGCAGGUGGUACAUCAAGUCUGCUGUCAAAGACCGGAGCUCAACUCCGGGCAGGCAGUGGAAACUGGUGAACUAGAGUACGGUAGGGGUAGAGGGAAUUCCCAGUGUAGCGGUGAAAUGCGUAGAGAUUGGGAAGAACACCAGUGGCGAAGGCGCUCGACUGGGCCGUAACUGACACUCAUGGACGUAAGCUAGGGGCGGGAAUGGG